rnacentral:rRNA from 1 species
AGGGCAAUGGGCGAGAGCCUGACCCAGCAACGCCGCGUGAAGGAUGAAAUCCCUCUGGGAUGUAAACUUCGAAAGUCGGGAAAGAAAUCGCCAUGGAGAAUACCUGUGGUGGAUGACGGUACCCGACGUAAGCCCCGGCUAACUACGUGCCAGCAGCCGCGGUAAUACGUAGGGGGCAAGCGUUGUUCGGAAUUACUGGGCGUAAAGGGCGCGUAGGCGGCAUGGCAAGUCGGGAGUGAAAGCCCGGGGCUCAACCCCGGAACGGCUUUCGAAACUGCCAAGCUAGAGUACGGAAGGGGCAACUGGAAUUCCCAGUGUAGCGGUGAAAUGCGUAGAUAUUGGGAAGAACACCGGAGGCGAAGGCGGGUUGCUGGGCCGAUACUGACGCUGAGGCGCGAAAGCCAGGGGAGCAAACGGGAUUAGAUACCCCGGUAGUCCUGGCCCUAAACGAUGGAUACUUGGUGUGUGGGGUUCUCAAAGUCCCCGCGUGCCGGAGCUAACGCGUUAAGUAUCCCGCCUGGGGAGUACGGUCGCAAGGCUG